AGGUCCAUUCUAAUUCCCUGCAGGUGGGUGCCAGUACCUGCGGGGUUUCGCUUGUGGACCACAUCAAACUGGAAAACUUCAGUGUGUAUGAGCUGACUGGCUAGCAGCUCAUUACAUAGUUUUCUGGACAUUU
rfam:Colius striatus contig40319, whole genome shotgun sequence.